UACUUUCAACCAGCUCUGCUUUCAACAGCUUCAUCACUGCGAUGGGUUAUUUAAUUUUGGUACACUUUCCCCACAAAUAUGCUUUGUUGUACUUUUGGAUGUACUUCUCCGUAUUCUGUAAGGACCUCUGCGGUUUUGGCAAAACAACAAACCACACUUCACCUGGAAAACACAGCCAGGACUCACUGUCAGAUGUCUGAAAAUGUACAGUACACGCCAGCAGGUCUCACCAUAGUCAACAUCAUUAAGGAUUUGGCUCUCUGACCUGAGAAGAGGCCCCAUAAACACACCUGACAAGGACCAGCCACUGUUGCCACUGCACAACUGAGGACCUGACCAGCCUGCUGCCAUCUAUGAUACUAUAUAGUACACGGUAUGUAACAUUACACUACACUCA